GCCAAAAGCACCAAAGCCUGGUUCAAUGACCGUGGGAUUACUGUGCUUGAUUGGCCAGCAAACUCGCCUGACCUGAACCCCAUAGAGAAUCUAUGGGGCUUUGCCAAGGGAAGGAUGAGAGACAUGAGACCGAACAAUGCAGAAGAGCUGAAGGCCGCUAUUGAAGCAUCCUGGUCUUCCAUAACAUCUCAGCAGUGCCACAGGCUGAUAGCUUCCAUGCCACGCCGCUUUGAGACAGUAAUUGCUGCAAAAGGGG